rnacentral:lncRNA from 1 species
AUUGUUCUUAAAUGAGUCACAUAAAGCAUUUGAAACUGCUUGCUCUUCAUAUAAUUAUGUCUGCAAUUGCACAUACCACAUAUUCAGGUAGGAAAAGCCAAAUUUAAAAAUAUUGAAUAAAAAAAAAAGUCAAGAAAGUUUCUUUACCUGAUAAAUUAGCCCUGAGUAGUGACUUUGUGUAAGCUUUCACCAGUUACAGAGUCAUUGUUACAGAAGAUGACAUAUAUGUAGCAUAAAAAUACUAAUUAAGGUUAAAAUGGAAAAAAUUAAUAAUGGUGAAAAUCUCAAUCCUGCAGGAAUGAGAGUGGACUAAUAAUGGACUAUGUAUCAUUGCUUAAUAUAUAUAAAAUGCUUUUUUUCAUUUAUUGCUUUCCUUUUUUAUACUGUGGGCUUUUGAAGAAAAAUAAUCUGCUUUUAAAUCUUUGUAUCUUUAGCACUUAGCAUAUUGCCUCAGAGAUGUAAGUGAAUAAUCAUUGAUUUUGAGUAAAUUGAAUGUCAGAACAAGUGUUGUAACUUAUGAACUUGUUACUCUAAUAUCUGCAUUGCCUCUUGGAUAAAACAUUAUGAUCUGUGAUUGUGGACU